rnacentral:rRNA from 1 species
AUUGAACGCUGGCGGUAGGCCUAACACAUGCAAGUCGAGCGCGAAAGUGCCUUCGGGUGCGAGUAGAGCGGCGGACGGGUGCGUAACGCGUAGGAAUCUGCCUGGUAGUGGGGGAUGACGUAGCGAAAGUUACGCUAAUACCGCAUAUUCUGUGAGCAGGAAAGCAGGGGAUCUUAGGACCUUGCGCUUUAGGAGCGGCCGAUGUCGGAUUAGCUAGUUGGUGAGGUAAAGGCUCACCAAGGCGACGAUCCGUAGCGGGUCUGAGAGGAUGAUCCGCCACACUGGGACUGAGACACGGCCCAGACUCCUACGGGAGGCAGCAGUGGGGAAUUUUGGACAAUGGGCGCAAGCCUGAUCCAGCCAUGCCGCGUGAGUGAAGAAGGCCU